AUUGAACGCUGGCGGCAUGCCUUACACAUGCAAGUCGAACGGCAGCACGGGAGCAAUCCUGGUGGCGAGUGGCGAACGGGUGAGUAAUAUAUCGGAACGUGCCCAGUCGUGGGGGAUAACGUAGCGAAAGCUACGCUAAUACCGCAUACGAUCUAUGGAUGAAAGCGGGGGAUCGCAAGACCUCGCGCGAUUGGAGCGGCCGAUAUCAGAUUAGGUAGUUGGUGAGGGAAAGGCUCACCAAGCCGACGAUCUGUAGCUGGUCUGAGAGGACGACCAGCCACACUGAGACUGAGACACGGCCCAGACUCCUACGGGAGGCAGCAGUGGGGAAUUUUGGACAAUGGGCGCAAGCCUGAUCCAGCAAUGCCGCGUGCAGGAUGAAGGCCUUCGGGUUGUAAACUGCUUUUGUACGGAACGAAACGGUGAGCUCUAAUACAGUUUGCUAAUGACGGUACCGUAAGAAUAAGCACCGGCUAACUACGUGCCAGCCGCCGCGGUAAUAC
rnacentral:rRNA from 1 species